rnacentral:ncRNA from 1 species
GGAUGACAGAGCCAAACCCAUCGUAAGGUGGGGACGGAAAGCCACGGGUCUUACGGAAGAUAGCCGGGUUGCCUUU